UUUGCUGAUAUAAAGGAUGUUAGCCAACAAUUACUACAUAUUGGGAAUUGAACGGGUAGAGGGCUGUCUUUCUCUUGGGACGAGCACACUUUAAGGGGAGCGUAUUCAUUGCAGGACCAAGGCUCAAAGUGCACCGCUCCCCUCCCGUCCCAGCUCCUCUUUAUGCUUGUGGGGCCAGCCACUCUCCAGUCCUCCCCAGGACUAUACGUCACAACCAGGCGUUCUUUUUUCAUUGGCCUCAUUCUUCCCAGGGCCGGCUCAGAGGCCCCCCGGUCUAAUUGCCAUUGGUUUAACUGCUGUUUAAUAAAUCAAACUAUUUUUCUGACUAAAUCUUGCUAAUCAGUAAAUAGUGAUCAUCUGAAUUCUCCAUAUGCUAAAAAGUCAUUUUUCCAAGGGGUAAAAUUAAAGUAAUAUUUGGCAUAAAAAAUUCUAAUACACAGGCAGACACCUUUAUCUCUAAUAUCUCAACUGUAGAGGUUAGAUAAUCACAGAGUGCUAUACUGUGUUAUAGCCUUAAUAUGUAGAGUGCUUACAGAUCACUAAGAAAUAUUUAAAUAAUAUCACUAAAUAGGACAAAAUCCUGAAAAGCAAUUCGUAAAGAAAACGUACAAAUAACCAGUAAAUACAAGGUAUUCAACAUUUGUAGUAUCCAAAUAAAAUACAAACUAAAGGCCAGGUGCGUUGUCUCACACCUAUAAUCCCAGCACUUUGAGAGGCCGAGGCGGGCAGAUCACGAGGUCAGGAAUUGGAGACCAGUCUGGCCAACGUGGUGAAACCCCAUCUCUAUAAACAUACAAAAAUUAGCCGG
rnacentral:lncRNA from 1 species